rnacentral:rRNA from 1 species
UACGUAGGGGGCAAGCGUUGUCCGGAAUCAUUGGGCGUAAAGCGCGUGUAGGUGGCUUGGUAAGUCCGCUCUGAAAGCCCGGGGCUCAACCCCGGGAGGCGGGUGGAUACUGUCAAGCUCGAGUCCGGAAGAGGCGAGUGGAAUUCCUGGUGUAGCGGUGAAAUGCGCAGAUAUCAGGAGGAACACCAAUGGCGAAGGCAGCUCGCUGGGACGUGACUGACGCUGAGACGCGAAAGCGUGGGGAGCAAACAGG